rnacentral:snRNA from 13 species
AUACUUACCUGGCAAGGGAGACACCGUGAUCACGAAGGCGGUUCGCCCAGGGCGAGGCUCAGCCAUUGCACUCCGGCUGUGCUGACCCCUGCGACUUUCUCAAAUGUGGAAAUCUCGAUUGCAUAAUUUCUGGUAGUGGGGGACUGCGUUCGCGCUCUCCCCUG